rnacentral:rRNA from 1 species
UACAGAGGUCUCAAGCGUUGUUCGGAUUCAUUGGGCGUAAAGGGUGCGUAGGCGGCGCGGUAAGUCGGGUGUGAAAUUUCGAGGCUUAACUUCGAAACUGCAUUCGAUACUGCCGUGCUAGAGGACUGGAGAGGAGACUGGAAUUUACGGUGUAGCGGUGAAAUGCGUAGAUAUCGUAAAGAAGACCAGUGGCGAAGGCGGGUCUCUGGACAGUUCCUGACGCUGAGGCGCGAAAGCGUGGGGAGCAAACGGG